rnacentral:rRNA from 1 species
ACUUAUGGAAGGGCCGUAUUUAUUAGAUAACAGACCAAUAUUCUUCGUGUCUAUUGUGGUGAAUCAUAGUAACUAAUCGGAUCGUAUGGGCUAGUCCCUCGACAAACCAUUCAAGUUUCUGCCCCAUCAGCUUUCGAUGGUAGUGUAUUGGACUACCAUGGCUUUCACGGGUAACGGAGGAUUAGGGUUCGAUUCCGGAGAGGGAGCCUGAGAAACGGCUACCACAUCUAAGGAAGGCAGCAGGCGCGUAAAUUACCCAAUCCUGACUCAGGGAGGUAGUGACAAGAAAUAACGGGCCGGGA